rnacentral:rRNA from 1 species
GAGUUUGAUCCUGGCUCAGAUUGAACGCUGGCGGCAUGCCUUACACAUGCAAGUCGAACGACGCUAGGGGCAACUCUAGCGAGUGGCGAACGGGUGAGUAAUACAUCGGAACGUGUCCUGUCGUGGGGGAUAACCAGUCGAAAGACUGGCUAAUACCGCAUGACCUCGCAAGAGAAAAGCGGAGGACCGCAAGGCUUCGCGCGAUUGGAGCGGCCGAUGUCGGAUUAGCUAGUUGGCGGGGUAAUGGCCCACCAAGGCGACGAUCCGUAGCUGGUUUGAGAGAACGACCAGCCACACUGGGACUGAGACACGGCCCAGACUCCUACGGGAGGCAGCAGUGGGGAAUUUUGGACAAUGGGGGCAACCCUGAUCCAGCCAUGCCGCGUGUGUGAAGAAGGCCUU